AGGCAGUCACAUGCUGUGAUGGACAAGUCCUUCAGCUCAGAGUUAACUUUGACGCUGCUCACCUUACCCGUGAGUGCAGGAGAUGUGUAGCUGGCUGGGGAUCGCUUUUCAGAAGGACUGCAGCCAACUUUGGGAGGAUGCGGUAGAGUGGAGGUUGCUUUCCCAGUACCAGUGGUGUCGGUGUCCCGAGAGCACCCCGCAGCCUGCCUGCUCCCCAGCUCACUGCACUGAACACCUGGCUUCCCAGGCACACUGAAAGCCUUACAAACCUGACACAAACCCUGGAAAACUGUGUUUAUCUUGACCAAGUGCUCUGGCCUACAACACGCAUUUUGUUUUGGUACUUCAACCUUCCGGUGCUGAGCUGGAUCCCCAUGAAGUGAAAAUAUCAAUUACAAUUACACGAAGCUGAUUGGACUAAAUCAUCUGUCCCUUAUAAGGAGAAGAUGGAAAAACUGAAGCAGAAUAGUUGCAACUGGUUUGCUCACAGUUGAAGGAUGGGGCCCCAAAUGUAA